rnacentral:rRNA from 1 species
GUCUACGGCCAUACCACCCUGAACGCGCCCGAUCUCGUCUGAUCUCGGAAGCUAAGCAGGGUCGGGCCUGGUUAGUACUUGGAUAGGAGAAUCAUCUAGAUUUUUGAUUUUUAAAGAAU